UUUACUCAAAAAAAGUUUGUUGACAUUUUUCGUAGAACACUAUUUUUUUGGGUUCCCUCCUGUCGUGCUUCCAAACUCUUCUGUUUCACCCAAACCCUUCUUCUUCUUUGUUCUUCUCUUUCAUCUGCUUCGUUCUUCUUCUUUGUUCUUCUCUUUCAUCUGCUUUGUUCUUCUCUUUCAUCUGCUUUCUAUUUCACCUGCCUUGUUCUUCUUAAUCCUCUUCUUUAUCGUUUCCUGAGCAAGGCGAAUCUGAAUUGGCAAUUGGGUCUUUGAAUUGGAGAUUUGUAAAUAAGGAGAAAUUGGCCAAUUGUGUUUCUGAAUUGGCGAGAAGAACAAGGUUAGUUGACCUUCUGGUAAGCUGGUGCAGAUCGAGCACGCUUUGACUGAUGUUGGUUCAGGGCAAACUUCUCUUGGAAUCAAAGGCAAGGACGAGAGAACAACCACCUAGGAAGAAUAAGAAGGAAUCAUUGUGCCCAUCUAUGGCAAUGGAUUUCUUUUUCACUAAACAACAAAUGGAUCCCACUCAAGUACAACAGUUACAGCAAGAAGUGCAAUGAUUGGAACAAGAUCGACAAAGAGCUAGACGCCCACUUUUUGCCAGUGUUCCAAUGGAAAAUCAAGGAGAAAGUGAUAUCUCACAACAAGGUUUCUGUUUUCACACUCCACCCCUUCUCAAUUCUAAGAGUGAAAUUUAUUCUGAGUGAAAAUAAAACUCUAAUUUGAUCAUCUUCCCCUUUCCUCCUACAUAAUCACUUAACAUCCCUUGAACGUAAUCUCCGCAUUUGGCAUCAGUAGUCGGAUUCUUGUAGAUACCCAUAUUUUAAGUUUCUUAAAGAACUUCUAAGCACCUGUAGACCCCAAAAAGCACAAACUUUAAUUUGUUCACAUUCAAUAUCAUGUCAUUUUCCCAUUAUUCUUAAGGUUUAGCGUUAGUCAUUUAUUUUUCAGGUUUUUUUUCCUUAUGUAUUUGGAUUUUAUUCAUUGAUAAUAAGUUUCUUAUGGAAAUGUCACUUGAUUUGUUUGUUGUG